UACGAAGGGGGCUAGCGUUGUUCGGAAUCACUGGGCGUAAAGGGCGCGUAGGCGGCCUGAUAAGUCGGGGGUGAAAGCCUGUGGCUCAACCACAGAACUGCCUUCGAUACUGGGAGUCUCGAGUCCGGGAGAGGUGAGUGGAACUGCGAGUGUAGAGGUGAAAUUCGUAGAUAUUCGCAAGAACACCAGUGGCGAAGGCGGCUCACUGGCCCGGUACUGACGCUGAGGUGCGAAAGCGUGGGGAGCAAACAGG
rnacentral:rRNA from 1 species